rnacentral:snoRNA from 1 species
AAACCAUGAUGAGGGCAUUGAGAACAGUAACCCUUGAACCUCUCCCAUGCUUCACUGAAGCUCUCUAGACCUUUCUGUUGAAGCCCAGAGAUUUCAUUCCUGAUCUU